AACGAACGCUGGCGGCAGGCUUAACACAUGCAAGUCGAACGAGAUCUUCGGAUCUAGUGGCAGACGGGUGAGGAACACGUGGAAACAUCCCUUUCAGUUCGGAAUAACGUUGGGAAACUAACGCUAAUACCGGAUACGUCCUUCGGGAGGAAGAUUUGUCGCUGAAAGAUUGGCCCGCGUCUGAUUAGCUAGUUGGUGAGGUAAUGGCUCACCAAGGCUACGAUCAGUAGCUGAUCUGAGAGGAUGAUCAGCCACAUUGGGACUGAGACACGGCCCAAACUCCUACGGGAGGCAGCAGUGGGGAAUAUUGGACAAUGGGCGCAAGCCUGAUCCAGCCAUGCCGCGUGAGUGAUGAAGGCCUUCGGGUUGUAAAGCUCUUUUAUCCGGGAAGAUAAUGACUGUACCGGAAGAAUAAGCCCCGGCAAACUUCGUGCCAGCAGCCGCGGUAA
rnacentral:rRNA from 1 species